GAUGCAGCAAUUCCGAUCAGAAAGGUUUCCGCAUGUAUACUUUCCCGAGAGACGCGAAAAGACGGCGUGAAUGGCAAUUGAGAACCAAGCGAGGUGGUGGCUGGACACCGAAGGCAAAAAGCCAGCUUUGCGAGGUGCUUUUUGAGGCGAGCCAGUUUGAAACACACAGAGCAGACAGCUGGAAGAAGCUCAAGCCAAAUGCAGUUCCAACCAUCUUUGCUCACACAAAGCCAAAAGCCCAGAGGAAGCCCCCACGGGAAAGAGUUAGCAGCUUUGUUUCCCAGCCACGUCAAACACCUAAGACCCUUU